rnacentral:tRNA from 1 species
GUUGGUAUAGCUUAAGGUUUAAAGCGUUAGGUUCUUACCCUAAUUAUAAUGUUUGUUUGCCGGCA